rnacentral:rRNA from 1 species
UACGAAGGGGGGCUAGCGUUGCUCGGAAUGACUGGGCGUAAAGGGCGCGUAGGCGGAUGGCACAGUCAGAUGUGAAAUUCCCGGGCUUAACCUGGGGGGCUGCAUUUGAUACGUGUUGUCUUGAGUUCGGAAGAGGGUCGUGGAAUUCCCAGUGUAGAGGUUGAAAUUCGUAGAUAUUGGGAAGAACACCGGUGGCGAAGGCGGCGACCUGGUCCGCACUGACGCUGAGGCGCGAAAGCGUG